rnacentral:rRNA from 1 species
UACAGAGGUGGCAAGCGUUGUUCGGAAUUACUGGGCGUAAAGGGCGCGUAGGCGGCCCGUCAAGUCCCGUGUGAAAGCCCCCGGCUCAACCGGGGAACGGCGCGGGAAACUAGCAGGCUUGAGUUCGGGAGAGGGAAGCGGAAUUCCGGGUGUAGCGGUGAAAUGCGCAGAUAUCCGGAGGAACACCGGUGGCGAAGGCGGCUUCCUGGACCGACACUGACGUUGAGGCGCGAAAGCUAGGGGAGCAAACGGG